AUUGAACGCUGGCGGCAGGCCUAACACAUGCAAGUCGAGCGAGCGGCGGACGGGUGAGUAAUGUCCGGGAAACUGCCUGCUGUAGGGGGAUAACUACUGGAGACGGUAGCUAAUACCGCAUAACAUCAGAUGAACCCAUAUGGGAUUAGCGUGUAGGUGAGGUAACGGCUCACCUAGGCGACGAUCCCUAGCUGGUCUGAGAGGAUGAUCAGCCACACUGGGACUGAGACACGGCCCAGACUCCUACGGGAGGCAGCAGUGGGGAAUAUUGCACAAUGGGCGCAAGCCUGAUGCAGCCAUGCCGCGUGUAUGAAGAAGGCCUUCGGGUUGUAAAGUACUUUCAGUCGGGAGGCGUUACCGACAGAAGAAGCACCGGCUAACUCCGUGCCAGCAGCCGCGGUAAUUC
rnacentral:rRNA from 1 species